AAUGCAAACAAUGGUGACUACAGAGAUGUGCCUUUACCGCGUUUGGAGGCAUCAGUGUGGUUGUCCAUGGAGACUGGCGGCACGCCGAAUCUCUUGACACCGACGACGCAGCACCCGACUUCUAGCUUAGCGACCCUGUGGACGAGACCUCGCGCAGUACAGGGACGCGCCACCUUCUGGCACCGCGUGAAUAUUGCGGAAGAGUUCGACUUCACCCGCGAUCAAACCCUCUCCCUCGGUUUCUCUCUCUUAAUGGCUGCAAUCUAGGCGGCGCACACAGGUUCUUGGUUAGGGUGGCCUGGGUUGUUUAGGGGUGUCGAG
rnacentral:lncRNA from 7 species